GUCCCGGGGCUGGCAGCUGGCGAACUGACGGGAGGGGCGCCGGGAGCGCGGUGAGGGGGGCCGCCGAGGCUGACCUGGGCUGAAAUUUAUAUAUUUAAAGAAGGAGCGGUUCGGUCCUGCCUUCCACUGCGGCGCUGAGAGCAGGAGCAGCAGCAGCUCCGGAGCAGAGAAGCGCACACGUGUGUGCGUGCGUGUGUGUGUGUGUGUGUGUGUGUGCGUGUGCGCGCGCUGGGGGCGAGCCCAGCGCACCGCGGGGAGGAGGGUGCGCUUCGCAGGGCGCUCGGUACUCGGUCGGGUGCCGCAGGGGCCGCAGAGGCUGCUGAGGCGGCGCGGAUCCUGCUCUGGGAGCUGCGCUCCGUGGCCUACACCCUGGCGGGCGCGCGCUGACCCGCUUGGUUACUCCACGUUGCUGCCGCCGCCGCUUGCAAACGCUUCCAGCCUCCAGCUCCCUCCUUCUCCUGCUCCUCCUUCUCUUGCUCCAAACGCCAACCCAGCCACAGACGAUCAGCCGUCGCGGUUGCGUUCACCCCCUGCGGAUCACAACGGCAGCCCUUGCGACACCCUGGCUGGGGAGUUUUAUUCCUGAGGGGGUUGCGCAGGGGCUCCCUUGGACUCCCACCCUUUCCCAACCUCUGCUGGCUUCUCCCCAACGUGGAAUUGCUCGCUUAGGGUAGGUAGGCACUUGCCACCCUAAAAUAGAUCCUCUCUGUCUCCUCCUGUCUGCAGCCGGGCAGCCCCUCAGUUUGUUCCUGGAUGACUCCCUAGACCGUCAGGCUAAUAUUCUCCAUCCCCCUCCCCUGCCUCUUUCACUUGCGCUCUCGCUCUGCUGUCUCUUUCUCUCUUUCUCUUUCUAUCUCUAUCUCAAUCUGUCUUUCUCUUGUCAGGAGCUUCUGGAGCUCCGCUCGGAGCGAACCUUCUGCUGCCAGCAGAUAACAUCACGAUCUUGCCGGGGAGGGGAGAUUUAUAAGUUCUCUCUGAACCACGUGUCUGCCUUCAACAAAGUGACGUGCUAGGAUUACAGUCAGAAGUCCUCUCGUUACUUAGACCACGAGCUCUCCCCGAACCGUUGAGGGAGUGUGGAAAUGAGGACCGCUGUGGGUAAGGGAGGAAGGAGGUGGAAUGUGCGCCCUGACAACAGUGAUUUACGUUACUCAAAGUCAACAUUUUCAUUUCGGCAUGACUCUGCAGCCAUACUGACCAGACAGAUGAUUUAAACUGGAAACUCUGUUGAAUGUACUCCCAAACCCAAGAUCUCUAUACUGUUCUCUACUUCAGAUGUUCCUGAGUUCAGAAAAGUCACAAAGAACUUUCUAUCACUUUUGGAAUUUAUACUUCAGUUGUGUAUGGGGCCUAGGUUAUUAGUAGAGCACUGAAUAAAUAAAAUAAUAAUAGCUAACAUAUACUACACUUAGUAAUUUGAUGUGUGUUGUGUAUGGUCAUUUAAUCUUCA
rnacentral:lncRNA from 1 species